rnacentral:rRNA from 1 species
UGGGGAAUCUUGGGCAAUGCCCGAAAGGGUGACCCAGCGACGCCGCGUGCGGGAAGAUGCCCUUCGGGGUGUAAACCGCUUUUCUGGGGGAAGAAUAAGGCGGGGAGGAUAAUGCCCCGCCGAUGACGGUACCCCAGGAAUAAGGGACGGCUAACUACGUGCCAGCAGCCGCGGUAAGACGUAGGUCCCGAGCGUUGCCCGGACUUACUGGGCGUAAAGUGCGCGUAGGCGGUUCAGGAAGUCCCCUGUGAAAGCCCGGGGCUCAACCCCGGGAGGCCGGGGGAUACUCCUGGGCUAGAGGACGGCAGAGGAGGGUGGAGCGGCCGGAGUAGCGGUGAAAUGCGUAGAUACCGGCCGAAAUCCCGAUGGCGAAGGCAACCCUCUGGGCCGGUCCUGACGCUGAGGCGCGAAAGCGUGGGGAGCGAACC